rnacentral:rRNA from 1 species
UCAGCCGCCGCGGUAAUACAGAGACUGCAAGCGUUAUUCGGAUUCACUGGGCGUAAAGGGUGCGCAGGCGGCCGUGUGUGUGAGGCGUGAAAGCCCGGGGCUUAACCCCGGAAUUGCACCUCAAACUACACGGCUAGAGCAUUGGAGAGGGUAGCAGAAUUCACGGUGUAGCAGUGAAAUGCGUAGAUAUCGUGAGGAAUACCAGAGGCGAAGGCGGCUACCUGGACAAUUGCUGACGCUCAGGCACGAAAGCGUGGGGAGCAAAAGGGAUUAGAUACCCCUGUAGUCCACGCCCUAAACGGUGCACACUAGGUCUUGGCGGAUUCGACCCCACCAGGGCCCAAGCUAACGCGUUAAGUGUGCCGCCUGAGGACUACGGCCGCAAGGCUAAAACUCAAAGGAAUUGACGGGGGCCCGCACA